rnacentral:rRNA from 1 species
UACGUAGGGGGCAAGCGUUGUCCGGAAUCAUUGGGCGUAAAGAGCUUGUAGGCGGUCUGUCGCGUCUGCUGUGAAAAUCCGGGGCUCAACCCCGGACUUGCAGUGGGUACGGGCAGACUAGAGUGUGGUAGGGGAGACUGGAAUUCCUGGUGUAGCGGUGAAAUGCGCAGAUAUCAGGAGGAACACCGAUGGCGAAGGCAGCUCACUGGGACGGUACUGACGCUGAGGCGCGAAAGCGUGGGGAGCAAACAGG